AUUGAACGCUGGCGGCAUGCUUUACACAUGUAAGUCGAACGGCAGCACGGACUUCGGUCUGGUGGCGAGUGGCGAACGGGUGAGUAAUACAUCGGAACGUGCCCAGUUGUGGGGGAUAACUACUCGAAAGAGUAGCUAAUACCGCAUGAGAACUGAGGUUGAAAGCAGGGGAUCGUAAGACCUUGCGCAACUGGCGCGGCCGAUGGCAGAUUAGGUAGUUGGUGGGAUAAAAGCUUACCAAGCCGACGAUCUGUAGCUGGUCUGAGAGGACGACCAGCCACACUGGGACUGAGACACGGCCCAGACUCCUACGGGAGGCAGCAGUGGGGAAUUUUGGACAAUGGGCGAAAGCCUGAUCCAGCAAUGCCGCGUGCAGGAUGAAGGCCUUCGGGUUGUAAACUGCUUUUGUACGGAACGAAAAGCUUCGGGUUAAUACCCUGGAGUCAUGACGGUACCGUAAGAAUAAGCACCGGCUAACUACGUGCCAGCCGCCGCAGUAA
rnacentral:rRNA from 1 species